CGCAUCUGUGCAUGCAGCAUAUCAAUAAGCGGAGGAAAAGAAACUAACAAGGAUUCCCCUAGUAACGGCGAGUGAAGCGGGAAGAGCUCAAAUUUGAAAUCUUAAAGGGUUUCCCUUUACGAAUUGUAGUUUAAAGAAGUGUUUUCUGUUGAGGUUUUGGUAAAAGUUCUUUGGAAUAGGACAUCAUAGAGGGUGAGAAUCCCGUAUUUGACCUUUACUUUCAACUUUGUGAUACACUUUCAAAGAGUCGGAUUGUUUGGGAAUGCAGUCCAAAAUGGGUGGUAAAUUUCAUCUAAAGCUAAAUAUUGGCGAGAGACCGAUAGCGAACAAGUACCGUGAGGGAAAGAUGAAAAGAACUUUGAAAAGAGAGUUAAACAGUACGUGAAAUUGUCAAAAGGGAAGCGUUUGACACCAGUGUUGUUUUUCUGAAAAUCAAUUAAAGAACUGUUUAUGCUAAGUUGUUUAGACUUUAUCAGCUAACUGUUUAGUUUUGAGCUUUUCUUUAAUGCACUUUUCAGUUAACAAGUCAACAUCAAUUUCUUUUGCUGUAAAAAAGCUUGAGGAAGGUGGCUUGAGAUUCGUCUUAAGUGUUUAUAGCCUCUUGCCUAUGCAGUCGGAGAGAUUGAGGUCUGCAGCGUAGAUCCUUCGGGGCUAAAUGCAUUUGUGCUAAGUUAUAGCAUUUUAUAGACAACUUGUUGACUAUGAUUUGUCUUGUAGCUUACUCGCUUAUGUUAUUUUACCUACGCUUAGGAUGUUGAGUCGUAGAGCACGCAG
rnacentral:rRNA from 1 species